GUGCCAGCAGCCCGCGGUAAUACGUAGGGCGCAAGCGUUGUCCGGAAUUAUUGGGCGUAAAGAGCUCGUAGGCGGUUUGUCGCGUCUGCUGUGAAAGCCCGGGGCUCAACCCCGGGUCUGCAGUGGGUACGGGCAGACUAGAGUGCAGUAGGGGAGACUGGAAUUCCUGGUGUAGCGGUGAAAUGCGCAGAUAUCAGGAGGAACACCGAUGGCGAAGGCAGGUCUCUGGGCUGUUACUGACGCUGAGGAGCGAAAGCAUGGGGAGCGAACAGGAUUAGAUACCCUUGUUAGUCC
rnacentral:rRNA from 1 species